rnacentral:rRNA from 1 species
GCGCAGCGAAAGCGAGUCUGAAUAGGGCGCAUGAGUUAGUAGGAUCAGACCCGAAACCGAGUGAUCUAGGCAUGUCCAGGAUGAAGGUUCGGUAAUACGAACUGGAGGUCCGAACCCACACCUGUUGAAAAAGGUCGGGAUGAGGUGUGCCUAGGGGUGAAAGGCCAAUCAAACUCGGAGAUAGCUGGUUCUCCGCGAAAUCUAUUUAGGUAGAGCGUCAGACGAAUACUCCCGGGG